rnacentral:rRNA from 1 species
UACGAAGGGGGCUAGCGUUGUUCGGAUUUACUGGGCGUAAAGCGCACGUAGGCGGAUCUUUAAGUCAGAGGUGAAAUCCCAAGGCUCAACCUUGGAACUGCCUUUGAUACUGGGGAUCUCGAGUCCGGGAGAGGUGAGUGGAACUGCGAGUGUAGAGGUGAAAAUUCGUAGAUAUUCGCAAGAACACCAGUGGCGAAGGCGGCUCACUGGCCCGGUACUGACGCUGAGGUGCGAAAGCGUGGGGAGCAAACAGG